rnacentral:rRNA from 1 species
UACGAGUGGUGCAAGCGUUAUCCGGAAUCACUGGGCGUAAAGGGUGUGUAGGCGGUUUGAUUAGUCUUUCGUUAAAGCUCCCGGCUUAACCGGGAAAAGGCGAAAGAAACGGUCAAACUGAGAGGGUGCGAGAGGUUUGCGGAACUCAUGGUGUAGGGGUGAAAUCCGUUGAUAUCAUGGGGAACACCAAAAGCGAAGGCAGCAAACUAGCGCACACCUGACGCUGAAACACGAAAGCGUGGGUAGCGAACGGG